rnacentral:rRNA from 1 species
GACGGAGGAUGCAAGCGUUAUCCGGAAUGAUUGGGCGUAAAGCGUCCGCAGGUGGCAGUUCAAGUCUGCUGUCAAAGACCGGGGCUUAACUUCGGAAAGGCAGUGGAAACUGAACAGCUAGAGUAUGGUAGGGGCAGAGGGAAUUCCUGGUGUAGCGGUGAAAUGCGUAGAGAUGUGGAGGAACACCGAUGGCGAAGGCAGCCCCCUGGGCUAACACUGACGCUCAUGCACGAAAGCGUGGGGAGCAAACAGG